AUUGAACGCUGGCGGCAGGCCUAACACAUGCAAGUCGAACGGUAACAGGAAGAAGCUUGCUUCUUUGCUGACGAGUGGCGGACGGGGGAGAAAUGUCUGGGAAACUGCCUGAUGGAGGGGGAUAACUACUGGAAACGGUAGCUAAUACCGCAUAACGUCGCAAGACCAAAGAGGGGGACCUUCGGGCCUCUUGCCAUCGGAUGUGCCCAGAUGGGAUUAGCUAGUAGGUGGGGUAACGGCUCACCUAGGCGACGAUCCCUAGCUGGUCUGAGAGGAUGACCCGCCACACUGGAACUGAGACACGGUCCAGACUCCUACGGGAGGCAGCAGUGGGGAAUAUUGCACAAUGGGCGCAAGCCUGAUGCAGCCAUGCCGCGUGUGUGAAGAAGGCCUUCGGGUUGUAAAGUACUUUCAGCGGGGAAGAAGAGAGUCAAGUUAAUACCUUUGCUCAUUGACGUUACCCGCAGAAGAAGCACCGGCUAACUCCGUG
rnacentral:rRNA from 1 species